AAUAGAUACCCUGGUAGUCCAUGCCGUAAACGAUGAGUACUAGCUGUCUGGGGUAUCGACUCCCUGGGUAGCGCAGCUAACGCGAUAAGUACUCCGCCUGGGGACUACGGCCGCAAGGCUAAAAACUCAAAGGAAUUGACGGGGGCCCGCACAAGCAGCGGAGCGUGCGGUUUAAUUCGAAGCUACGCGAAGAACCUUACCAGGGCUUGACAUGACCCUGACCGCCGGUGAAAGCCGGUUUCCCUUCGGGGCAGGGCCACAGAUGCUGCAUGGCUGUCGUCAGCUCGUGCCGUGAGGUGUUGGGUUAAGUCCCGCAACGAGCGCAACCCUCGUCGUGUGUCGGAUUUCUCACACGAGACUGCCCGGAGCAACCGGGAGGAAGGCGGGGAUGACGUCAAGUCAGCAUGGCUCUUACGUCCUGGGCUACUCGCACGCUACAAUGGGCAGUACAGACCGUUGCGAUACCGCGAGGUGGAGCUAAUCGGACAAAACUGUCCUCAGUACGGAUUGCAGGCUGCAACUCG
rnacentral:rRNA from 1 species